GGCGGCGAGCGGCGAACGGGUGAGUAACACAUCGGAACGUACCCCGUCGUGGGGGAUAACGAGUCGAAAGAUUCGCUAAUACCGCAUACGACCUGAGGGUGAAAGCGGGGGACCUGUGAGGGCCUCGCGCGAUGGGAGCGGCCGAUGUCCGAUUAGCUAGUUGGUGGGGUAAGAGCCUACCAAGGCGACGAUCGGUAGCUGGUCUGAGAGGAUGAUCAGCCACACUGGGACUGAGACACGGCCCAGACUCCUACGGGAGGCAGCAGUGGGGAAUUUUGGACAAUGGGCGCAAGCCUGAUCCAGCCAUUCCGCGUGAGUGAAGAAGGCCUUCGGGUUGUAAAGCUCUUUCGGCCGGGAAGAAAUCGGGCAGGUGAAUAAUCUGCCUGGAUGACGGUACCGGAAGAAGAAGCACCGGCUAACUACGUGCCAGCAGCCGCGGUAAUACGUAGGGUGCGAGCGUUAAUCGGAAUUACUGGGCGUAAAGCGUGCGCAGGCGGCUUUGUAAGACAGAUGUGAAAUCCCCGGGCUUAACCUGGGAAUGGCGCUUGUGACUGCAAGGCUUGAGUUCGGCAGAGGGGGGUGGAAUUCCACGUGUAGCAAAAUGCGUAGAGAUGUGGAGGAACACCGAUGGCGAAGGCAGCCCCCUGGGUCGCGACUGACGCUCAUGCACGAAAGCGUGGGGAGCAAACAGGAUUGGAUACCCUGGUAGUCCACGCCCUAAACGAUGUCGACUAGGUGUUGGGGAAGGAGACUUCUUUAGUACCGUAGCUAACGCGUGAAGUCGACCGCCUGGGGAGUACGGUCGCAAGAUUAAAACUCAAAGGAAUUGACGGGGACCCGCACAAGCGGUGGAUGAUGUGGAUUAAUUCGAUGCAACGCGAAGAACCUUACCAAGGCUUGAACUGCCAGUUAAAGCGGAUGAAGGUCCGUGUCCCGCAAGGGGGCUGGUAGAGGUGCUGCAUGGCUGUCGUCAGCUCGUGUCGUGAGAUGUUGGGUUCAGUCCCGCAACGAGCGCAACCCCUGUCCUUAGUUACCAGCACGUCAUGGUGGGAACUCUAGGGAGACUGCCUCAGAUAAUGAGGAGGAAGGUGGGGACGACGUCAAGUCAUCAUGGCCCUUACGUCUUGGGCGACACACGUGCUACAAUGGCCGAGACAACGCGCUGCAAACCCGCGAGGGCAAGCCAAUCGCUAAAACUCGGUCCCAGUUCAGAUUGCAGUCUGCAACCCGACUGCAUGAAGAUGGAAUCGCUAGUAAUCCCGGGUCAGCCACACCGGGGUGAAUAAGUUCCCGGGCCUUGUACACACCGCCCGUCACGUCACGAAAGUUAACUGUACCAGAAGG
rnacentral:rRNA from 1 species